ACAAGGCCUGAAAUUUUGAGGGAGGAGGAGGCCAGCUGAUUUCAUCGACCCCAGUGCUUCACUGGUAUUUGUUUCAUCGACGCCGAAAGGGGGGAAGGCAAAUUCGAUCUUGGGGAAUGUAAACUCAGCACGUAACGUCCGAAGCACCUUAAGUAUCGGAUGAAGCCUCAAGAGAGAACGAAGAUGAGAUUUUCCCAAGAUCAGCAAAAGUAUCAUGCAGCACUUAAUGCUGCCGUCCAAGAAUUUGGACCUGG
rnacentral:misc_RNA from 1 species